rnacentral:rRNA from 1 species
GACGAACGCUGGCGGCGUGCCUAAUACAUGCAAGUAGAACGCCGUUGCGAACGGGUGAGUAACGCGUAGGUAACUGCCUCAUAGCGGGGGAUAACUAUUGGAAACGAUAGCUAAUACCGCAUACUGUGAGAUGGACCUGCGUUGUAUUAGCGAGUUGGUGAGGUAAAGGCUCACCAAGGCGACGAUACAUAGCCGACCUGAGAGGGUGGUCGGGCCACACGGGACUGGGACAAGGGCCAGAACCCUAAGGGAGGCAGCAGGAGGGAAUCUUCGGCAAUGGAGGGAAGUCUGACCGAGGAACGGCGCGUGAGUGAAGAAGGUUUUCGGGUCGGAAAGCUCUGUUGUGAGAGAAGCGGUAACUAAACAGAAAGGGACGGCUAACUACGUGCCAGCAGCCGCGGUAAUUC